UGCAGCGCGUGUGUGUGUACACAACAUCGAGAGCAGGAAAAUGGACUCAUUAGGGAGGCAGGCGGUCGGGAGCGCUCGCGCUGUAGUGCCGGGGAGACGGAGGCUAUGAGGAGGCAAACUGAGGACGGGGGAACAAGCAGCAUAAAAAAGAAUUGUUGAGAGCUGCUCUUAACCCUUUUGGAGUCCGAAGUCAAAAGGGAACUAGAGGGCUUGACACAUCCCUUGCAUCUUCCAUUUACUCUGACCACAGUCCCUCCCUGUUCUCACAAGUGGAGCUAAGCCCUGCUUCCCUUCCUCUUGAUUCCCAGACAGCUACAUGACUGCCUGAAGUUACAUUGUAGAUGCUGAAAUCACUGCACCUUAAAAACAAAAAGAUUAAGCUGCACUGCAUUCUUAUGUAUAGAGGCAUGUUAUAGAAAUAUGUAUUAAGAAGUCCCUGGGUCCUAGGAGAACGUAUCAAGUUGACUCUGGCUUGAAGCAAACAAAUUACCUUUGUGGUCCUGGUCCUUUCGUUCCACACAAUUAUCGACUGAGCUGAAGGAGAUCUCCCUAUAGCUUGCAUGUACUCUCCUGUGAGACAGAAUUGAUGUGAUCUCAUGAAAUUCCAAGAAAAGCAGAAAUCGGGUAGACAAAAUGGAUGCUACUACCAAGGAAACUCUACUCAGUACUCUUAGAAGUAAAGGAUAUGGUGAUGAAUCAGUCCUCUCAACACAGCACUUCAAGGGAUAAAUGGUGACUGGGCACGACUCACAGCUCUAAGUGCUAUGAGGAGGUGAUAUCAUGUGGCAUAUUUACCUGGGAUUUUUGUGCUGGCAGAGAGUCGAGGAAGGAAAUCUUUUUAUGAUCAAGCAGUAUAUCUCAAAGCAGCACUGGUUUUAUGAAUGUGAGUGAUAGACAGUGCUGAAUCGGAGUUCAGCUGAAUUCUAAACCAAGUGAUUGCGAUGAGGCAAAUUAUAGGGGAAUUUAUGCAAGGAUCUCUGCUGCUAUAGCUCAGAUGAUGGGUCUGUGCUGUUUUUGCUCACUCUUUUCCAAGUUUAUUUUGUACUAUAAAUCAUUCCUGUAAUUGUGUUCUUUGUUGUUUCUCUCCUGACAUGUUAAAUCCCACAACACAGUCUAGUCUUGAUGUUUUCCCUCUCUUUCAAAGAGUCCCAAGAGAGAGAAGCAGGGAAGGUAGAUGUAUUUGACUUUGGAAAAUGAGUUGAUGCCAGUUGCAAAGGAAAUAAAAUAUAUCAUAGGGGUCUGCUAAGGGGAGGGGAGUGAAAACAUUUCUUGUUUGUGACAAAAGAUUGCCUUGAAGAUUGCUUCAGCUUGAUCAGUCUGAAGUCCAUGUCUCACUGUUUCCAUUACAAAGGCUUUAAUGUUCCUGUUUCUUUUGGAAAAGGACUUCAUCUAUUUUGAAAUAAGUCCAAGGCUCCCCAAAUGUACUGUUUGCUUUUGGGCUCAAAACAUGAGACCAAUGCAUUGGCGUCUCAUUCUAGAGGGGCUAGAAAAUUAAGUAAUGGGCCAGGAUAGCCAAGGAGUCAGCAUGUGAGCAGCUCCAUGGCAGCUGAGGAUCAUAGAAUCCACAGCCUUAUGCUGAUACAGUGAGCACUACUUCUGCAAGGACUUCGAGUAUGAAGAUAUUUGAGCACAGAACAGGGCCAUGGCUUUCUCAUGCUCUGGGCAAUAGAUGCAAGCAAUAUGCUUAGCAGACAGGAGAACAAGCUGUCAAGCUAUGCCUGGCACAAGGACCACAGGAUGGGAGAGGAACUGAAGCACUCUGCUGUGCAGGGAGUCUGUACUGCAGUGGGUCACUGCAGGGCUGUAAUUAGAUAAGGAAAUCUCAGCCAGAAUGAGUGAAAUCCGGUAAUCUUUGUUUUACAUACAAUUUGUCUGGUUUGCACAUAGGAGGCUGAGCUUCAGGACCUGCAUUAUGAGGGCAGAGUACUAUUCAUAUGAUACCUUCUUGGUGUCAAGCCUGUAAGCUGAUGCAAUUCAUUCCUUCAGAGGAUCCCAGUCAGGAUUUGUUCAGUGGGGUUGAUCAUUACAGAGCUGUAGUACAUUAAUUCAAGUCCUUAGCAAACAGUGGCUCAGUAUCCUCCCCAAGCUUCCCACGGCUUCCUGUUGUGAGAACAUAGCUUUCUGCUGUUUUUUCCUUUAUCUGCUCCUGAGAUGUCCCUAAUCUCUUCCGAGCAUCAGCCCCCAUUUUUCUGUUUGCAGCAGAGAACUUUUUCAGUACACAUGUGGAGCUCAUUCCUAACCUGCCGUUUUCAUAGUAGCAGUUUAACCUGGUGUUUAUAAAAUACAGUUCCAUCCUGAUACAUACAUAUAGAGGAAGAAGAUAAAUGCACCUUCUGAAAAGAGAUGCUGUGAUCUCUGAAUCAGUGGCAGCCAUCCCUCAUAGUGUGUGAUAUGUUUUAAAGUUUAAGGUCUUUUUUUUUUUUUUUUUAACUUUUUUAGUGUGUUUAACUAUUAGCAUCAACAGUGGAUACAUUUACCUCUGGCUUUUUUCUUUACAAAUCCUACAGCCUUUUUGGAAAUUCCAUUCCUCCUCCACUCAGCUCUUAAAUUUUUGUUUGUUUGUUUGUUUUUAAAAAAAGUGAAAGCAACUCUCAUGUAAGAUGAGCACAAGUGAGCUGCCAGGAGGUAAAUUCUCUGUGCUGUAAGCAGGCUUCUAUUUUACAUGGGAUAGCCACUGUGGAAUGCGACAACUCUGAACAACAGAUCGUGAGUCCAGAAAAAUACAAAUGAAGUGACAGCAGUGUUUACAGUGCUAAGUCACUUAAAUGAGAAGAUACCUUAUUUUAAGUGACUACUGUCCUCCUUUGUUAACUUGAAACCAUCUGGUUCUAAGCAUGUUUGACAGAAGGACAGAGGCUACAAGGAGACUGAAUCCUACCAGUUUUAUGAAAACCAGAAGCAGGAAAGAGGCAAAACUUCCUCCUACCCUGCAGGAGAGUCUGCAGCAUGCACUCAAGAUACAUGCAAGGGUUGUGCAGCCAGCAGGGUGGACAUCACUCACAAAGUGGCCUGGCAGCUGGCAGAUGUGCUCCUCAGCAUGUGUUCUGGGUGCCCUGCUCUUAGCAAAGGAGGGAGGGAGCUGGAGGUGCUGCAGGUAAUGGCCAGAGGGAAGCACAAGGAACUCUGGAGGGAGCAGUCCUAGCCAAGAUGUUUUGGAGGGGGAGAACAUGAACCAAAAGGGAGCCAAGCCUGUUGCUUGUUGGAUGACUUGUUUAAUUCAGAUACACUCUGAUCUGUCACUCGAUCCAGAGGUAUUUCAACAGUGAAGCAUUGCUUUGAGGUUAAAGACUGCAACUAAAGGGGGAAAGACAGAAGUUCUGUUCUUUAUCCAGGAGGUGUGAACUUGAUGAACCGAUUAUAAUGUCUGUGUCUCAUAUUCUUUCUCUCUGAGAGAAGGAAUACAUGUGUGCUUCAGAGGGGAGCUGAGGUGCUUCAUCCGUUUGGAAAUGAUUUUUCUCCUUUAGGAGACAGAUGCUUUACCUUUUCCAUGAAAAGCUGUAAAUGUUUCAGAAACAAUUAAAGAAGCUUCCUGACAUCCUCUUGGGUGAGGAAAUAUGAUUGCUGUGGGAAAACUGAGUCAAAAAAUCUAUCAUGUGAAUAUUUUAUUUUAAUAGUUAAUGAACAGGGAAAAAGAAAGCAUUACUAUAAAACACAUGAGCAAGAUUGUGGAAAACUUGGGCAGAGAAAGGGACUGAUAAAUUCUGUCUUGAUUGACAUCUCUUGAAGGUCAAAGUGUCUACCCAGUGUAUGAGGCAGUGUUAAAUUUGCUCAUGGUGUAUAUGUAUAAUCAGAAGACUUUGCCUCUUAGUACUACUCAAUUUCAGAAUACAUGUACUGCAUAAGGCUGGCUGGUAAAGUAGAAGUAAAUAUUUUGAAAAGUGAAUACAUCAAAAGAUAAGCUUUUGGUUUCACAUCAGCAAUAAUAUUAGUAUUUUUUACAUGAAAACCUCUAAUUAUUUUAUGAACAAUAAAUACCUUGCCUCUUCAGGAGAUCUCCAAAGGUCUUAAUCAAAAUAUACCACACCAUUACACGGUGUUUGUGCAUAAUGGUAUUUCUUACUUCGGAAUUUGGAAAUAGAAGCACAAAGAAAUUAUGUAGGUCACACACCAAAUGAGUGGCAAUUGAGGAAGGAAAAACAGAUAUUAUGACCUUUUCCUCUUUUUUUUAACUCAGAAGAUCGGUAGUCUUGCAAGCAUGCACAUCUGUUUUCAGUUUAAGCUGAUACUUGUUCUUGCAGGAUGUGUGAUGCUUCAGAUGGUCCAGUUGUUUUGACUCCCUCAUCCCAAGAGCCAAGGCAUCAAAUCAGUUACUCUAGGCUAGUGUCAGUUCUCCACUAGGACAAGCCUCCCUUUUUCCAUCUCCAGUAGAUUACAGGCUGAACACAUACCAAGGAGCAUAUUAAAUUGUGUUCACAUUGUGGCAGAUGGGUACUUAUAGGAUAUAUAUGGAUAUUUGUAUGUAUCCAGAUGCAUAUGGAUACUUGAGUACUAAUAUAAAGCUAACUCUAAUACCUGUGGCAGUUUCUUUCCCCCACUAGACUUCUGUACAUUUAUAUCAUUGUAUAAAUGCAUCUGUAUGUCAAGCAUUCUAUGAAAGAAAAAGAAACUUCAGCUGGUAGGAGAUUAAACAUUUAUGGUGAGAAAAGACAGGGCCACCCAUAAGUAUUGGGUAUACACUGACACUAAAUGAUUAUUUUAGAUUUGUUUUCAUGUUUGUUUUUAGCUCAAGAUUUUCAGAAAUCGGCAAUGCCUUUAUUUGAUUGCACUGCACUCAAUGUGAGGUUUACCAUACAUUUAAGCUGAAAUAUGCCAGUACUGGAUAUUGUGAAAAUCUCACUCCUACACGUACCCACUUUCACUUGUGUUCUUGAAUCAGAUUUGGGAAGUAAAUGAACAAAAACGGGCAUUAUUAUAUAUCCCAGGAGAGCUGGUGCUUUCCAGAAUGCUGUCUGUAUUUCAGAAUUGCUGUGCUUUUAAUUGUCUUGCAGCCCAGAUUGUCUUUGCAUCCAGUGGGUUUUCUCUCUGGCCUUGUAAAAUCCAUGAAUUUAUGAAGUAUACUAGACAAGAACCCUUUGCUCUAUCCUGUGCCAUUCCUAACUUGUGACACAAAUAGAAACAAGACUAAUUCUGUAAGAUUCUCAUGAGAGAGGAAGGUAUGUGAGGAAAACACUGUCUAGCCUUCUGAGGUCUGAAGUUUUAGGCUUGUUUCUGGAUUUAAUUCCUUAGCUGUGUCACAAGUUUUGGACUGCUCAGUUCCUCUCCCUGGGCCGUGUAUUCCAAUUUUGAAGUCAUCUAGAUUCUCUGUGUUAAAUGUUUCUGAUUUUUCUUUGUCACUUAGAGUCUGAAUUGUCCCUUAUUUUGUAGAAGGGGAAUUCACUUCCUAGUGGUGUCGACAGCAGAAAUAUGUGAACUGUCCACUUCUGUUAUGGUUAUGAUGAGGUCUAGAUUCACCACUAACCAUAUCAAAAGGAGGCUUACGAUGGAGAAUAUAUGACUACCAACUGCCCUUUGCUCCUAAGAAAUAGGCUUUUGCAUUCUUUGUAUCCUGGGAAGGAGAAUCAUUGUUCUGAAAACCAUGCGUAUUCACAGCAUGAUGUGCUGCUGAAGAAGGCACUCAAAAAAGAAUUAAAGCUAGGAUGACAUCAAAGCAAUUCUCCCUUCCAUGGUGGAUUAAUUACGACAGAAUGAAACACCAGCUAGCUUGAAAAUAAAAGCCCAUGUGUGUAAGUAGACUAUGGCAGUUUAUUCUAAAAAUGAAUUCUUCUCUCACUCCUCAAACUACAGCUCCAACAACAUCAUCUCCUACUUUGCUUUCUUUGACUCACCUUCUCAAAUUUGCUGGCCAACCCGUAUUGUUGCUUUGAGAUUUUUGCUGUUCUGUGUCUCUUGGUUGAUUCUCAGAGCUGUAAUAGAGAAUUGCUGGACCUAGUAUCUACUGAUACUACAUUGUGCUUGGCAUGUGAUAUAAAGGGAUGUUACUUCAGUGCUCCAAGCCUCUCAGUAGACUUUGAGAUAAAAAGUUCAGUGUCCCAGCUGAGCACCCAACACACAUAGUGGUUACAUAAGAAAAUGGGAAGAAAGAGCUUUUCAGGCAGGAAUCUAAGGAGACAACCUCAGUCUAUGUCCUUCUUAAAAUGGACACUAUCCUAUACGUUAAAAACAAACAAAAAAGAAGUGUGACUAAUCUUUUUUUUUUCUUCAUUUUGUAUGUUACUUUAUCUUAAGUGACUUACCCUUGCCCUUGUGUGGUGCUGUUCAACAUGCAAACAUUGCAGAUGAAAACAAUCCCAAGCUCCAACAAACUGUUCCCUCAGCCAGAUAGUGCUGACUUCUGUCUCAGGAACAGUCACCACACUGAAUUGCAUUCAGCUGGUGAAACAAUUGGGGAAAAUAAGAGUUCUAGAGAGUAAGUAGAUGAGUACUCAAAUAACAAUCAAAGUAAACCGUGUGCGUAAAAGGGAUGUAAGACUCAAAUCCCAAACACAUAAUGUGGAAGCCAAUUUGUAAUCAAUGGCUUUCUUUUCACAUGUUCAGUGAGGAAAUAUUUGUUUUCCAAUCUCUAUGCAUUGUAAGACAAGGUGGACUGCUGUUUGAAGCAUAUUUUGUGCUAGUGACUUUUUCUCUAGUCUUGGGCAAGUUAGUGAUUUUGUAUGAUUUUUGAUAGCUGGAAACAGUGGUACUGAUUUCUGCCAUAAACAGCUUGUAAAAAUGUUGAUAUAUUAGGGGACCAGAACACAGUGAUCUGAGUAAUACAUUUGUCUGGUACAUUAGUAACAUCUUUGUGAGCUCUACUUGUUUUCUUUCCCAAAGAAAAUGUACUUGCAUACAAACAAAAGUACAUUUUCAACUUUUAUUUCAGUACACGAACAUGAAGACAGAAGAGAGACAUGCAGUUGCACAGUUGUGCUAAAUAUGUCCUCCAUUAUUUGAGACAAAAUUAGCUUUUGGACUCUACUGAUUAGAACAAGACAGUGAGUUAUUACUGAGAAUAUCAGUGAUAGGAGAGAAACGUUCUCUGAGCUUUAUACCACACUUCCCAUUCUUUUGUCAGCUUACAUUAUAAAUAAAUAACAAAGCAAUUUGACACAUGCCCAUUGAUUAAAAAUAAAAAUUGUCAGAGUGAGAGGAGAAAGACAAAAAUAUGAAUUAUUAAUAACAAUAUUAAGCAAUGCAAAAAAGAUGCUUAACAUGCAGGAAAGUCCCUGAAAAGUCACUUAGUGAAGGGGAAGAAAAGGACAGCCACAAAGACCUUGCCUCCACUACUUUGUGGCCACUUCCUCACUACUAGUCUAGCAACUUGAUCCUGGAAGGUCAGGGUGGCUAUAUGAGAAAGAAGGGUGAUUCUGUUAAUUUGUGUUAUCUUUCAGCUCCUCUCUACUAUUUCUAACAUGCACUACCAGCAAGCAUGAAGACCUCAUGCAAAGUAUGGAGUAAAUUUAAACUGAUCAUAUUCAUGACUGAAUUGACUAUCUUGUGUUUUUGAGCAAUCUUCUUGCCAGUGAGAUUUGAACAACUGAUUGAUGAAACUGACAUUUUUGUGGCAGAAGCUAGGUUAAUUUAAACUCUUUCUAAUUUGGUAUAUCACAGGUACCUGGGAUUUAGUAAACAGAUAGUAAGGCAUGCAAAAGUAUUGUUACUGCUAGUUGUAGUGUGUGUUCUGUGUACAGUGUAUUGCCCCAGUUGAUGUAUCAAACUCUAGCUGGAGUAAUUAUGCAUUUCUUUUCCCACCUUCUGUUGCUUAUUUUGGUUGCAACUAUUUCAGUGCUUUCAUUUACCAGGCCAGUUUGCAUGGCUACUGGGUAUACUGACCAUCCUAGCACUACUUAAUUUUCUGUCUAUGGAGAUCAGAUUUCUUUUUUUUUUUUUCCUUUGAAGUGGAAAGGAAAAAAAAAUAUACUUGCAAAGAGCAAAAAAAGUAACUAUGCGACUUCUCUGAAAACUGUAGAAUCUCACUUAGUAACAAUCCUGCGUGCUGAAAAAUGAUGAUAAUGCAUGCUAUCGCAAUAGAAGAGCUAAUCAGAAAGUCUUCCUGGUCAGGUACAACCAAAGGUCCUGUUGUGGUUAAAAUAAUGGUGUUUGUAGUGGAGCAUCGUAUGUUUCACUUCCUCAUGUCCAGUCGGAAGAUUACAUUCUGUGUAACUGGAGAGGUGAUAUCACAACGAAAAUGACUGCAGGAGUGGUAAAGCUCCUAGUCUGUGCUUAUGAUGUUAAUGUUUUAAAUUAACAAACUGUUAAUGAAUUCACAACAUGAUCUCCUAUUUAUUGUGUUUUAACUCUGGAAAGCUCCCUUUUAAGCAUCUUUGGUUCAAGUAAGGGCUAAGCACUUGUAGCUUUUAUGGGUUUCAUUAAGAGUCAGAAAUGCUCAGAGCUUCUGAAAAUGAGGUCACUAGCAUUUAGUUGCAUAUGGUGCAGGUACUUCCAUCUUAUCUCCUUAUUUCAACUUCGGUUGCAGUUAGCUGGAGAGUAGUAGGUACUCAGAGGUGUGAUUCACCCUAUCACAGUGAAAGGCAUCCAAAAUACUCUUGUUUAAAUGCCUACUUCUGUUCACAGACUGUAAAGAAAGUCUGCAUGAAGCAGUUAAAAACUUAACCAAGAUUCUUCUGUGUGUGUGCCUUGAGCUGAGUAACUGAAAUUAGGGAGUUGUUCUAGAAAUCUUAGGCUUGGCUUCUCUGGUUCUGUCUGUAAAAUUGUUUUGUAUGUUCUGAGAAAGUCCUAGAAUUGCAGAAAAGGUUUGGGCUGGACUGGAAAGGACUUUGUAACUUCUAGUUACAACCUACCUCCCACUAGAGCAGGUCACCUAAAGCCUCAUCCGGUCUGGCUUUAAACAGGGAUGAGGCAUCCACAGCUUCUCUAGGCACCCUGAGUCAGUGCCUCUCAACCCUCUAAAUAAAGAAUUUCUUUUAAUGUCUUAUUUAAAUCUGCCCUUUUAUUUUAAAGCCACUACCUUCUGUCCUAUCACUGUACUCUGUUAAAGGAUCCCUCUCCAGCUUCUUGUAGAACUCCUGCAGGUACUGGAAGGAUGCCGUGAGGUCUCCCUGGAGCCUUCUCUUCUCCAGUCUGAACAAGCCCAGCUUGCUCAGCCCCUCUUCACAGGAGAGGUGCUCCAGUCCUUUGAGUAUCUUUAUGGCCUCCUUUGGACAUUCUCCAACAGCUGCAUGCUGGAGGUCCUAGAGUAGGAUUCAGAGCUGCAAGUGAAAACUCAUGAGAGCAAAGUAGAGGGAAUCACUUCCCUCUCUCUGCUAGCCACGCUUCUUUUGGUGCAGCCUUGGACACAGUUGCUUUUCUGGGCUCCAAACACAUGUUGUCGGUCGAUGUCAAGCUUUUAAUCCACUGGUAUCCCUAGGUCCUUCUCUACAGGGCUGUUCUCAAUCCGCUGUUUCCCAUCCUGUAUUUAUUCUUGGCAUUGUACCUACCCAGAAGCUGGACCAUGCUCUUGGCUUUGUUGAACCUGGUAAGGCUCUCACAGGCCCACCUCAGUCCUACUGAGGUCUGUCUCAAUGGCAUCCCUUCCCUCCAUUGCAUGAUUGCACCACUCAGCUUGCUGUCAUCUGCAAACAUGCUGAGGGUGCACUCAGUCCCUUUGUUCAUGUCACAAACAAAGCUGCUGAAUAGUACUGGUAAGAUAGACUUCUCUUAUUUGGUACACUAUGUAUAGAGGUAAAAGUUCUUAGUAGCUCCUAAAUAGUUUUCAUUUACUUUCUACUUUUGCAUGCAGUAUGAGUAAACGUUAGCGCUGAGUGAUUGUGUCAGUUGGUCUCAGCAUGAGUACCACACACUAUUGCUAAAUUUGGCUUUAUAGGAAUUAUUGGUCUCUCUUAAAUAAUUAGUACUUCUAAUCUGCUAGAUCUGGUCCUCAGGGUUUUGGUGAACAUUAAUUUGUACAUUAAAAGACUGAAUUUAAGAUAAUGUUACUGGUUUGGAAAAGUUAUAUGAACCAAUAUUUGCUUAGCAGAGCCCAAGCACAGAACAAACUGAAUGAAACAGAAUGGCUUCUGUGGCAGGAGUGAGGUGAUGGAGAAGGGAACAGCUAUCCUUUCUCACACUUACCCAGUACUGUAACUGAAGUCAAAUAAAGACAUGUAAAGAGAUACUAGCAUGCUAUGCCUAGCUCCCCUGGGACUGGAAGGCAAUCAUUUCAUAAAUCUUCUGGUAUCAUAUUUAGCCUUAUUCUAAAAUACUUUUCAAACGUCUGCAAGGAAAUUUUUAAAUGUUUAAAGAAUUUUGUCUUCUGAUGAGUUUCUUAAGAAAAUGAGUUGGCUUUAAAAUUAAGCAAAGAGAGUUAAGAGAACCUUUGAUAAGGAAUGUUAAGAAUCUGGGAGAAAGCACUUUAAUAAUACUGCUGUAGUAAUUUUCAUCAGUCUUACUACACCCAUGUGCAGUAUUUCUACUCUGUAAACUGAAGCAUAUUUAUUUAAAUGAUUUGCCAAAUAUCUUAUCAUGGGUAAGUGGCAAGCUGCAAAUGGAACCCAGGAGUCCUAAUUUGAUUUCUUGUUGAAUUCAAAGACAGUAUUCAAAGCCUCUGAAAGAAAAACACUCAAGAAUUCAACAGUAACACUCUGCGUGAGGAGUCUCCCAUUUCAAUAAAUGUGUGGUUAUGAUAUGUCUGUACUUCACUGACCAAGGUCCCUGAGGUUGCUUUCAAUCCAAACCCAUGUCUCCUUUGUGGGUGCACAUUGCACUACCAGAUCUUUCAGUGCUCUGAACCAAAAGUCUUGUUCUUAAUGGACAUACUGGGGAAAAUACAGCCAUCUAAAAACACCACUACUGCCAGUGAAAAAAGCAAGCAUGAGUGAAAUAAAAUCUGUAGAGUCAUAUGAAUACGAGCUGCAGCUUGAAUGCUUCUAUCAGUGCUGGGUUUUGGGUUUUUUUUUACAGAAGUGAAGAUCAGACAGCAGAGGAUAUUAUUUAUCUUAAAACUCUGUUCUAUCUAUUUGCCAUCUCUGUGAGAUCUUGAAUAAAUACAGAUAAGUCUCUGUAUUUUUAAAUUUGUAUUUGGAAUUUGACAGCACACUGGAUGAGCUUUACAGAGAGGUAUUCAGUGGGAGGUUUUUGAGAAAAGGCUCUACCCAUCAGCUUGUCUUCCCAGUAUAUUUUGUGGUACAUGAUGACAAAAGGUGAGAGCAAGAGCAAACAAUAACCAUCUUAGAAAAUCUCGGUGAACAUUUGAAAUCAGUAGGCGAAGUUGGCUGGUGUGAAAGCUUACGUACAUCUAGUCCAUAAAAUCCAAUCUCAUAAUCUUGAAAGGAAAAUUCAAGAGUCAGGGGAAAUGCAGUUUGACUUGAUUUGCACAGUCAGGACUUAUGUUUGUGAACCUCUGUCAGGACUGAUCUCAGUAUUUAUAUAAAAUAUGAAACUGAUGUUCUUCCUUAGAAUUCCAGUUUCUGCCAGAGUCAGAAGAAAUGUUGUGCGUUACAGCCAGUUUACUUUGCAGAGAUAGAGUAUGAAUUUCCUCAGCCGAGACAUGGAGAGCAUAAAGGGGAAUUCCACAAGCAGUUUCUCAUUAAUAUCUAAUUUUGUGUGUGUUUGGCCAGAAACAGAAGGAAUUUGAUUUUCUUACAUUUGUGCUGAGAUUAAGACUGUCUGAAGAACAGAUGGAAAGGUACAGCUUAAUACACAUGCACUAGCUGUCUGUACAGUAAGUACUCAGUGCAUUUGCUUAAACACAGAUAUUUGGUACAACUUGAUGCAUCUUCUGACCUCUUGCUGCUUUUCCCAAAAGCCAGGAAUCUCAGAAGUCAUAUUUGCUAGCUGUGUCCAAAUAUGUUGAAGCUGUAAGGCUUUUGCAGAGGCGCUUGAAAGCUACGUUUAAGCAAAUGAUUUGAGCCCUAAAAAUAAAACUUUGCGUAUUUGUAACCACCUCUGGCACAUGAUUUAGCGAUGACAGUGCUACCAUGUGAUGGUUCAGGAAAAAUCCUUUUUCUAGAAGCUAUUAGAGGUGAAAAUACAGAUGAUAGAUGUAGACCCAUUGAUUUCAUUAAUGAUUACUUGAUUACAUUGGUGAUCCUCUGGCAUUUUAGGUCAGCACUUAGGCCAGGAUUUUUACCUAUAAAUAAUCAUUCUGUGUAUAAUAUAUGCAGUGGGCGUGAUGGACAGUUAAGAAUAUUUAGUAUACAGUUUAACUUAGCUGACACACUUGUGCUGAGUGGUAUGAAUAUGACUUGAAUUCUCAGAUUGGUAUGCAGUCGUGCUUAGUAUUGGUAGACAAAAAAAAUCUGGAAGUUAAAUUGUGUUGUAACUUCUGUAUUAAUCAUAGUGUCUGUAUAACAGAUGUUUUUAGAAAGUGAGAAUUUAAGUCCAUGUUAUUGUAGUUUGUGCAGGUUAGGAAGAUGUUUUAAAUAUCUGCAGUUUAUUAAAUUCUCUAGUAUAAAGGAAAAAUACAUAUUAUCUGAAGUUACUCAAAGGAGCAUACUGUAUGUUUUAAGACAUCAGGUUAUAAUUUUACUUUUUUUCUUUUUUAAGAUGCAAUCCUUAUUAGAAGCAACACUGUGAAGUAUGAAUCUUUUUCUUCUAUUUCCUGUAGUAGUACUCUUCUACAACUAUUUUCUAUCAUGAAAAUAAGCAUAAUGACUUUCAGAAACCUCCAGCAAACCUCCCAUUGACUUCUGUAAGUAUUUUACCCAAGUAGAGUCCAAGUCAGAGCUAGCAAGAUACUUCAGGCUUUUAUGCUCUAUUUAAAGGAACUUGAAAGGAUAGAUUUCUUCAGUGUUGAAAUCUGAGGAGCUCUUAAAUACUGCCAACUGUUUCUUAACCUUUUCCAGAAAGCAAUCUAUAGAUACUUUCUGCAGAAACCUGUAUUUUGUUGAUCAGGUCUGAAGGAUUUUGCUUUGUGAAACUUCACCUAGAACCAGACCUGCAGAAAAGAGAUUACUGAGAUCAGUUUGUUUAUCUUCUUCUCUGAUGUGUUCGUGUUCCAUACUGGACAGUUACAUUUGCUCUACCUUGAUAAAGACAAAGUUUAUGGUCUUUGCUUACACUGUGAAAUGUAUUUUGAUUGUACACAGUAUUCAGUGAAUUUGGUGAAGACUCUGUCCAUUAAUUUUGUGACUUAAUGAUUUAUUUUCUGGUCAAUAUUCAGGAGAGAAGAUAAAAACACUCAGGUUCACAUCCCCUAUUGUCCUUGGGUCAUGGUGUAGACUCUGGCCAACUAUUUCUGAUGCAGAAGGUUUAGUAACUUUGAUUAAUUCAUGAUCACAGAGUGCUUUGGGCUCCUGGGAUAAAAAGCAAAAUAGAAGUGCAAAGUGUUAUUAAUGGAAAGUAUGCUUGACAUGCUUAGUAUACUAUAUUAAAUAUCAUUUGGGGUUGAGUACAUUAGAAGAGUGCGAGUAACUCAGCUGAAGGUAGUUAUGGUGAUGUCUCUAAUUGAGAGAAACAGAUUCUUAAUCAGUGUAUCACAACUACAGCCUUCAUGGUAACUUCGUGGUUAGGUUUAUGGAUCGAUUUUAUUCCUCUGAAUAACAUAUGGCCUAAAAACUAGGUGCUGACAGCAUCUUCUGAGUUUGGGGAACAUAUGCAGUUACUUCUGGUUUUGAUGUCUGGGAAUUUCUCUUCCUCUCAAGUCUGGAUUUAACAAUCCUUCGGUUGCCAUUUAAUUUCAAAGAGCAACAGCAUUCAAUGAAGCAUGUAUUCUCCCCUUCUCCUAGCAGUUGGUAGUGGCAAUUUCUGUUUCUUUAGGAACUCUGUAAAAUAUAACGUGAAUUCUGGAUCUAUGUACACUGGGACAAAUCUUAUUUGUUUUGACUUAUAGUAAUACAAGAUUUUCCACUGUGUCCCAAAGCCAGGAUUCAGCAUUUUAGGGUCUGUUCCUAUGUUUUGGGAAGCACUGAUGGAGAGAUCUGUGAAAUCAUGGGUACGUUACAGCACCAACUUUUCUUCAGAGCAGCUCAGCUACAAAGCUCUAUUAGUGGAAUUUCAGUGUUUAUGCAUAAUGUGAGAUCCAGAGGGAUGUGCACAUCUACAUUAAUAUUUUGCUUUGCUGGCAAUGGUUGCAGUUUUAAUGGAAGUGUCAUAAGACCUGGUGUUUUCCUUAAAAAUUCCACUCUUGAAGUAAACAGAUAAUGUCAAGAACCUCAGGUUUUUUUGUAAAAGUUUCUAGUCCUCAUGAUUGGAAAGAAGACACUGAAUCAUGAUCAAAGCAUAACGCAGAGACUUAGAAAUGAGAAAAAAAAAAGAUAUAAAUGUAAAUAUAAAGCCUGAUACUUAUUAGAUGGGUUAAAAAAAUUUUAAUAACAUGUUUAGAAUUUUCAGGGGGAGAAUGGUGAAAGACGGAAGGGAAACAGUAUGAGAUCAGCAUUGGUGGAUCUCAUUUGCACUUCAUUUUGAUUUUGGUCUGAAAAAUAGUUUCAUGGUCUGAAUACCAGCACUGAAAUCCCUGUGCAAGUUGAGUAUCAGCAGCAUGACCUGGAAUAAAAUUCACACCUUCACACCUCUAUAAAGAAUGACAGCAGUGGGGUUUUAGUGCAUAUUUUGCUAGCCAUUUAAACAAAGAUUGCUUAAAUUAUGUUCUGUCUGUGCCUGUGUCCAUAAUAUUUGUGUUACUUAUCAGUGUUUUUAUUAGUUGACCAAGAGGUGCACUAUCGUCAUUCAUUUGAAUGGUGUUUUCUGCCUGUUUCCUUGGCUGGGUUUCUUUUUCUCUCUGUACUCACAAGUACUUGGGCAGUGAAAGUACUAGUUCAAAUAAAUGUCAAAAGCAUUAUUUUGUUAUAUCGUGCUGGUUUAAUUCUUUAAAUGGGGACUGUGUAUUGGUAAAAGGUAUCUGCCCAUUCAGACUCUAGCUGUUAGGAUUGCUAUAGGAAUUACUGGAUGAAAACUGUACUGCAAGAUACUGAGGGUCUUCUGUGGCUUUGAAAGCUAUGAAAUAGCUCUCAAGAUUUAAAAUGAAUGUUUAUGAAUUUUUUUCUAUCCAAAUUCCAUUACAAAAAUAACAAUAAAACUUCAAAUAAAAUAGUUCAUUUGCCUAGGGAAUUGUUUAGUUUGUUAUUUGGAUUGUAGUACUGCCCCAGUUCCCAAACAGAAUUAGGGUCUGUUUGUAGUAAAUGUUUGAGUAGAAAUUAAGAGGUUGCCCUGCUUUAGGUCUUCAUAAUCUACAUCAGAGAUUCAUACAAACGAGAGGAGACAUUGCUAUAGGCAAAAUGUCAAAGGACAUUUUGGAGAUAAUCCUGUUGUAGAGAUGGGCCAAGCUAUUCCAAGGCAGCUUUGAAUCAUGCAGACUGUGGUAGGCACAGUACCUGUUCUGUGGACGACAAAUCUGUAUAAAGUGAGAUUCUUUCCUUUUCCCUUUUCCCUCUCUCCUUUCUCCUUUCCUGUUUCCCCUUUCUCCAUUCUUUUCCUUUUCCUUUUCCUUUUCCUUUUCCUUUUCCUUUUCCUUUUCCUUUUCCUUUUCCUUUUCCUUUUCCUUUUCCUUUUCCUUUUCCUUUUCCUUUUCCUUUUCCUUUUCCUUUUCCUUUUCCUUUUCCUUUUCCUUUUCCUUUCUCCCUUCCCUUUCCUCUUUUCUUUCCUUCUUUCCUUUGCUCUUUCAUUUUUAAAUGCUGAAGAUCUUGAAUUCUGCUGAAAAAUUGACUGUCAGAGAGAAUAUUUCUGAUACUCAGCUGACAGUUUUGCAUUUAAAAAAAAAUCGUAAUGCUGUCAGUAAAAGAAAUUUUUUGCAAAACAAAGCAAAAAAAAAGCACCCAUUCAGCUGCAAAUAGAUUGAAUUUUUCACACACACACACAUAUAUAUUUUAAUUAGCCUUUGUUGGGGAAAAAGUUGGAACCUAGUAAUAAUGCCUGUGACUCACCAGUUUCUUUAACUGACAUGGCUUGAAAACUUUUUGAAAAGAACCUAAAAAUGCAUAUCAGUUUCUAAGGGCAAAUACAAGUCACCCUCCAUACUCUUUUUCAAACUUUUGGCAUUCCUGUUGGGGAGACCCCCCUGGAUCUAGCCAGAAACAGUGUGUUCUGCAGCAGGCUUUAGGUGGAGAUUAUGUCCGGAAUUUGAAGUCACAUCCUGACUGUUUUGCAGAUGGGAGGGAGAAGUAGCGCUUUUGUUUCUUUUACAUUUAAUUUUUUUCCAUUUCCUAAAUAGAACAGUUCCUUACGGGAGAAAAUCCAAAGAAGGAUCCAGUUCUUUUCCCUGCCUUCCACCUGUAGAUAAUCUCCUGUGAGUAAAUUAGGGAGUAUGCCAGGAGUGCUGCUUCCCCAGCCAGCAGCAUAAGGAAGAUGUCUGGCUAUGCAGAGCCAGAUUUUUCAUCUCUGUGUUUAUUAAAGUUAGAAGGAGAAAUAAGAGCUUUGGAAACUUAAAACAUAAAAUGAAAACAAACAAACAAACAAAUGCAUCAGCUGGCACUUGAUGCUAGGAAUUUUAUAUAAUGGUGACACAGAAACAAGGUCUUCAGCUUGUGUUUUCAUCCAGCAGAUAUUAUAGCUCCUCGAAAACUUGAGACUCUUUAAACUUCAUUUGCUAGACCACCUUAGAGCAGUUAUGAAGCUACUAUCUUUUUCCUAAGAUCAGGUGGAUGUUUUUGGACCCUGAGGGAUAACAGUGAAGCUACGGAGAAAAUGUAGUCUUCCAAAUGGUUAUGGUGCAGUUUAGGAUGAAGGGAGCUGUAUGCUAACAGCUCUUAAAUAAUAAUCUUCAUACUGCCACAGAAAGACACAGAAUAUUUAAAUCAAUCUGAAAUCCUUCCAGCUAAAAAUAAAAUAAAGGGAAUGGUGCAACUUGGCGAAUGCAUCUUGACCUCAUGCUAUUUUUACAAGUCAGACAGAUGUGGAGCCACUGAUAAGCUGGUACCCAGGACUAGAUAUCAAAUCAGAAAUCUGUGGACUCACUCUUCAAAUCCCAGCACUAAUCACAAUGAUAAAGAGCUACCUUUCGAUUAAUCCUGCCCUGGACUUUAGACGAAAGAUACUGCAGUUUAAUUACUGAGCGAAAUCCACUUUGUCUGAUCUGCCAGUCUGCGCUGUAAUGUCAUAAUAUAAUCAGCUUCACCCCUGUCUGAAGCUCCAGGGCUGUGAAGUCCAAGGACUUGUUUGAUUGGAAGAAAUAAAACGAUGUUCAAACAACCACCAGCCACAGUGCUGUAAUUACCAAAAUCUUGUUUGCAUCUGUCUGUCAUUUUUGCCACUGGUUUUUUAUGACACUGAAAGGCAAGGAGAGAUUGUGGUGGAUAAGAACAGCGACCUGACAGAUGACAAAUAAGAUGUGGGAGGGUUUGCUUGGAGAAAAUAAUCACUGUAAAAUAUUCAGGCUAAUUAAACUGGGUCUCUUUCUUACAUAUUUCCCAUCGGCUUCAGUGACACAUGCAAGUUCAAGCAAAGCCAGCCAUUGGUACUGUCAUCUCAUAAUUAAAACCUGUAACUGAUCUGGGAGUGUCUCCUGCAAAGGUUCCAUUGAGGGGACAGAACAUGUCAGUUUGCGAGAAAUACGUUUUUACCCAUGUGAGAGCUGCAGCAGGGCUGCCAACGUGUGCAGUGUCCCCUACCUCUGCCAGCAGCGGGCACUGGCCGUGACUUGAAGUGACCAUUUCUUCAGAUAGAGGUCAUGGCUUACUUGUAGGAAUCAUCAAAUGAGUCUUGAGCAGAUGUACGUCUCAUCUCCCAGAGCAGCAUGGGAUCAUGUAACAAGUUCCACUAGAAGCAAAGGGAGGGUUUAGGGUGCUUGUGCUCUCUUAGUGUCUUGCCUUUCGGAGUCUUUCUCCCUGACCUCCUCUGUUAGGAGUGCCUCCAAGGCGUGUCGGUAGCAAUUUCUUUUCAGUGGACCAUGGAGAAGUUCAUUACCUGCUUCAGACUUGUUUCACAGUGCUCGGUAUGUACCAAUUGGGCAGCAGUAAUGUCCUGUUACCUCUAACCACAGCUGUACUGGGUCACUAAAAGAAGGUGAGAAGAUUUAAGUUUUCUAACAAAUGCUUUGUUUGGAUAUCUUUGUGGCAAUUCAGGGAGGUUUUGACAGUGGUAUGGAAAGAAGCUGGCAAAGCUCUCAAAAAUAGUUUGCACUCAGUUUAUUGCUAAGACAGAGAUUAUAAUGACCAGAGAAGGAAACAAAGCUUUCAUCUAGCUGCCCUUUAGGGAGAGCACUCCAUCCUGCGCUAGUGAGGUGAAGUCUGACUGACUUUCUUAGUGUCUUUUGACUGCUUAAGCUUUCUUCCCCCAACCACCUUCAAGACCUGAUUUAUCUCAACUAAUUUUCUUAUUGUUCUACAUUCUUUGAUUUCCCUUUUGCAUCUGUCUUGGCUAUUUCUAGCUAGAUCUUCCUUUUCUCACGUAAUGUAUUCCCUACAACCCAUGUCAUCUGAUUUGCAAUGAUUCUCUCUUCCACCCUUCUAGCAUGGAGAUCGCAUCCUUUCACUCUUCUCCCAGCUCCACUCCCCUAAAAAACACUUGCAAUUUCCAUCUCUACCCAUCUGUUUCCGUAGAGUGAGCUACUAGACUGUCAGAAUCACAACCACAGCUCGAUUAAGGUCCCUGUGCCACUUCCUCAUCAAAGGGCUGUCUUGUUCAGCGCCUAUGACUAAAGAGGCCAAGCACAAGAUACCUCAAAGUAUUCUGGAGUUAGAGCCCGUGGGUGGAUUUCUGUGCAAAGACCAGUUCUCUUCUGUACUGCAAAAUCAGAGCAAUGUCUUAGGGCAAAGACUGGGGAUGAGGAAGAAUAACAUACAGCUAGCUGUAUGUGUCUCUGUCUUAAACUUGCAGUGCAUUUACUUUCUUCCUCUUUCUUUUGUACCCUGUAGCUGACAGUGGUGCCGAGCAUCGCCUGUCAGCAGGGAUGGCAUGCAGGGUGUUUUGCAAUGGAAAUCUGGCUUUAAACCUAACUGGGUUUGUCACUGGUGUUUUAACUUCUGAAUAGUGUUUAAACAUUUCAGUCUAUGGACUGAGUUUCAGCAGGAUCUAUCCAGAAGAGGCUGUCUAGAGAAUCAUCUCUGAACCAGCUUUGACCAGCAGCAAUGACCCCAAGUGCUUUAUUUGUACUUUACUUUUGGCCUCAGUCUAAUCCUUUACUUUAGAAAAAGAAAUGUCAGAAGGAAGAUGUGCACAGCUUCCUUUAAAUCUCAGGAGACUACUUUUCAGCACGAAGGAGUCCAUCUAGUUACAUGGCCUUGCUAAUACCGGCACACUGCACUGAUAUUCUUGCUUCCCAGGGGAAAAAUAGCAAGGGAACCUGAAAAAUAGUUGUAUGGACAGUAACUGCAGAAAUUAUUUCUUUUGCAAAUAGGAGGAUAAUGGAGGGCACAGGAUAGUGCAUAACGGCACUUUAAAAGGAAGGAAGAAAUUAGUGUGAUUGAUGAGAAUAUUCUUUUACAACUGGAGAAGGAUAUAUGUGGGGGAGUGUAUGUAAAUAGUCAGGUGUUUAGUAUGCUUACAGGCACGAAGAUGGGAGUAUUAACGUAUUGUCUGUCAUAUACUUUGGUGAGGUGUGUGCAGUUUUGUGUCUGUGACACCAUGCAGCAGCCUGAUUAAAACUUUGAGGCCUUCUGCAUAGAUAUGGCAGGUUAUGAGGGUAGCUUAUAGCUACCACCACAUUAUCAGGACUGCCACUAGAACUUCUCAGAAGGCCUGACUUAGGGUGUUCCUUGCUGUAUACAUUGUUUGAGCCUCUUACCUGCUCUAGGAAAAUAAGCUUCUCUCUCUUCGCUCUCCAUCUCAGUGGACUUGUAGGUCCCAGUUGUCUUAGAAUGAGUUCCCUGACAUCUACUAAGAAACCACGCUGCUAUUAGCUCUAGUACUGUGUGAAUUAAUGUGUGAGGUUUUUUGCUGUGCAAAAUCCAAGCAGUGAUGAUCUAUACUUGAAGGACAUAGCAGAGGCGGGAGAUCAGGAGAAACGGGAGGAGCAAAGAGAGGAGUAAUUUGAGGAUGGAUAGGAGAGAAAAAGAGUUAGGUUCAUAUCCCAUCCUUCAUGGGCCAGUGAUGUCAUCAGUUCUGGUUCUUCAGUAUUUAUAUUCCUCAGCCUCCAAAUCGUUUGCUUAUCAUAGCAAAUUAGAAUUGUUUGAGUUGGAAGGGAGCUUUAAAGCUCAUCUGGUCCAUCUUCCCUGCAAUGAGCAGGGACGCCUACAGCUAGGUCAGGUUGGUCAGAGCCCCAUCCAGCCUGACCUUGAGCACCUCCAGUAAUGGGGCAUCCACCACCCCUUUGGGAAACCUGUGCCAGUGCUUCGCUACCCUUAUAACAAAAGACCUUUUCCUUAUAACCCAGUCUAAAAGACUUAUUCAUGGCCUUGUACUCAUGCUUAUAAGCCUUACCACUUAGGAAUCCACAUGCACAUGGCUCACAAGAUCAUAUUUAUGAGCAUGUUUUCCCAGCUGAUUCUCAGUUCCAGCUACCCAAAUUCAUGUCCAGUUACCAAGACAUCUUUUAUUCAUUCAGGAGCAUUUUAUUUCUGCAGAAAUGAAAGCAGAAUUUAAUUUAGAAAAAUGAUAAAUUUAGAAAAGAUUAGGUGAUGAAUUGAAAGAAUACAAAGUGCAGUCACAAUUUCCUGGGCCGCAAGCGGCAUAAAAAACUUUGCUGAAAGUAAGGUGAUAUUUGUAAAUAUCAGCAGCCAUUUCACUCAAAUAUGUGAAUCGAAUCUAACUGCUGGAGAACCAGGGGCAAGAACUAGAUCUUAAGGGCACUCCUUGGCUGCACAAGUUACUGGGAAAUAACUCAUUUUCUCAUUUAAAAUUGCAUUGUGUUAAUGCAUUAGUUCUAGAGCUAUCAACGUGUCAUUUCAUCAUAAUAUCCUCUUUCUGCUUUACACAAAGACGUCAAUGAAGAGAAUUUUCUGUUCACUUUUGAUGGCAGAGAUUGCCAUCUCUCCAGGGAGAGAUGCUGCUCAGAGAGCACUGGGGAGGAGAGGAGCUACAUUCCCUUCUGAAUGUAUGGACCUGUGCAACAGCACAGGCUAGCUUCUCAUGAAGGCACUACAGGGUUCCCUGGUAUGAUGAGGCCGCUAACUUUGGGAUUGUCUAAAAAGCCCAUCUAGGUUCAUGCUGCUUUCUAAAUGGAAGCUAAAGGGAGACUGAAUUUAAGCCCAUGACAUUCUGCAAGAGCAAGCAGAGAGUUAAUAUUUUUGGUGUCUGGCCUUCCAAUGCUGCUAACAAUAUUUUGAGGGCAGAAGGCAACUAAUUGUGAUGUAACUUGAAUGAUUUCAUCGCCCUACUCCUCUCACUCAGUUGGGACAUUCAUCAGCUUUCUGGUCACUGCUGACCUGGGAUGCCAGAAAUCUGGCAAUCCUAUAAAGCAGCUUAGCCAACCUGGAGAUGAUUUAUCUACUCUGGUUCAUUUCUGUAGAUAUAUAUAUAUUUUAUCCAUGUAUGUGCAGAACACAUCCAUGCUUAUAAUUGUGUGGGGACUUUCAAUUUUGGUGUGCUUUGUAUGUAUAUAUACUUAGCAAAACAAACAACAACAACAACGAAAAACCCGACUGAACUACAUCACGUCAAAGAUGAGGGAAAAAACCUCAUUUUUACAUCUUGUUGCCAAUCCCCCAAUCUAUACAUUUUUCUCUAAGCCCACUGCUCUAGUAAAUAAUAAAAUAUCAUUCUUGGGACUGUUAUCAGUGGUAGAAUCUUUCUCCCCUUUAGCAUGAAGAGCAGCUGAGAAACCAGAGGGGCAGCUUGCGUGGCUGUCGGAGCCUCAAUUGAAUUCAUGCACAGGUCUAAAGAGAUCAAAAUUGUUUGAAUUGAUCCUUUCUGUUGCUCCUGUGAAGAGAAAUCCCUUAAGCCUUUUGCUUUCUUGUCAUGUACAGUCUCCCUUUGUCAGUUCAUGUCCAAGGUCCCCGUUUUCAUUUUUCUUAGGGAUAGCAAUAGCUCUAGCAAUAUCUGUCUUUAUAAUGUCUGCAGUGAGAGAGUAAGAGACCGAGCGUGAGGCUAUGGGGAGAAGGAUAAAAUACACACGGUGAGCAUCUGACCCCUGAGAACCUUACUCUGUCUCUGAGAACCACAACCUUAUCAGGCAUCACAGUUGUGGCUGCUGUGGCAAAGGAUGACAACAAAAGCAACUUUGCCCACCACAAUUAUUAUUCAGUUUUGAGACCUGGGUUUUAAAACAAAUGCAUUUGGAGCAGAGAUGUGGAAAGAAAGAGAAACACAAGUGCUGCUUAUUGGGGGCCCUGCAGACAGAAAAUUAUUGUGUUUCUAACACUAUUGAUUUUGUGCAGCAGCUGAUAUUUCAAUCUGGGUGCAGCAUGUCUGAGAGUCUACGCACACUGUCAAGAAGAAAUAUGAUAGUGUCUUAAAAGAUUAAUAAUAUCGCUGGUCCUCAGGAGGCUUGUCUUAAUUCACUGGCCUGUUCCUUGGCAUGUACUGUAAUUUAUCUAGUCUGAUUUGAAUAGCAAAUGGCAAUCGGCUGCCAUUAGGGAAAUAGGCAUCAGUCUUAUUGAUCCAGGAUGGGCUGGAUUUUAUUUAAGGAGAGCUGCAAAAUGUUAUUAACUUCCGGAUGAGAGGCUGCAGGUGGAGAAUUUUUUUUUUGCAGUGUUCCAAGGGAGGGAAAUUGCACCAAGUCUUGAAAGUCUUGAAAUGGAUAGGAAGAGGGGAGGAUGUGGGAAGUGGGGCAUCAACUGCUACCCAUUUGUUUCCAAAGACACCCAUUUUUUUCAACACAAAUAUUUGUUUUUCAGGGCUCUUUGUAUGAUUUUGUCAGUGAGGGACUGAGUUAUCUAUGAGUGAAAGCGUUUGGUGAGAAGAAAGUCUGGUGGUUGAUUUUCCAUAUUGAUUGAGAUACAGCUGGAGCUGCGUAAAUGGUUUGUUUUCCAGUCCCCCUCACUGUGCUUAAUAAGAGCUACACAAUUAAUCUCCAGACAUCACGCGGAAUAUGUACUCCUUCUUACAGUCUGCUAUCUGUGUGUUUAGAGUUGCCACCAGUAAGUUGCCACCAGUAAGUUGCCACCUAAGGAGAGUGGCUGAUGUGACUGGGAGGGAGAUAUAACCCCACAGCUAUUGUUAAGGUUUGGUCAUGGUUUUCAUGUUCAUACCAGUCCUCAUCUGAAACAACUCUGAGGGAUAGAAGCCACUGUCUUUGGGUAAUCUUUCAGUGCUGCAAAUAUUAUAGGUACUUUUUUUCAGUGCAUGUUAUUGUUAAAUAUCAUGCUAGAGCCAUGAAUGUGAGGAGUACAGAACUGGUGCAAUUCCAGACUCUAGAAAAAAACAAAUUGCUUGGCAUUACGCGGAUCCUGAAAACUAAGUUUAAAGAAGUAAAAUUACACUGAAUACUUUGGAAAACUUCCAGUCUCAUGACAUGUCACAGUGAGAUAACCUCCCCAGGGAAGUGGAGCAUGCCCAGCUAUUUGACACGCUUUCAAGUUAGACUAAGUAGAACAUCAGGAAAAAAAGCGUAAGGAAUACCCAUACUCAGGAGGGAGUAUGGAGGGAAUGAUUAAAUACCAUAGGUCUCUGCAACCUUAAUUGCUGUAAUUCUUUGAUACAUCACAGUCUCCCAGCAGGAAUCACCAGAAAGGAAGAAUCAGGAGUGCCAUCUAUUAAAAAGCUUAUAGAUACUUCAGUUCCAGCAGGAGGCACUUUAAGGAGCAGUGGAGGAGUGUUUUGUGGAGGGACUUCAAACCUACCCUUCAGUCUGGUCUCCUGGGAAGCCAGCACUCUGGGGAGUGGUGCUGGAAUAGCAGCUCCUAGCCCUCGUGCCAGGCUCUGCAGGAGGCACCAGGCAGGAAUCACUCUUUCAGAAGAUGGGAAGUACGUAAUGGAGAAAGGGUUGGGGCAGGGAGGAUGUCCACAGCUGGUCAGCAUUAGCUUUUGCCUUUGAGAAGCUUCUCGAGGCUCGCAGGGCAAUCUCACAGCAUUUUCCACCAGCAGUCACAACAAGCAAAAAAAGGUGUGGGAACAUUUCAGAAAAUUAGCUUCUUGUUUCAUGGACUUCAUUUGCACCUAAAAUAUGGGCAUAGGCAAUAAAGCGCUACAGGAAAUGGCCAAGCACAAAAGCAAUAAAAUAAAUUGAAACUGACUUUGGGUUGUUUUUUUUUUUUUUUUGAGCAGCAGUAAUUGCUAUACAUUGUGAUGUUUGCAUAAGAAAUUAGUUAAUGUGUAGGAGAAUGACAUGUGAUACAUUUUAUUUGCCCGAUGACUGUAGUCUCUGAGUGAAUGACUUAUUAAGGUUAAUAAAAAAAUUUUUGCUUGUGACUUGUAAUAAUACAAUUGCUAGAAUUUAACAUCCUCUCAUGCAUAGUUGCCUAAAGGGGGGAAACUAAAUUACACAUACGUUCUAAUGACCGACUGGCUGUGCUUUUAUUUAUUUCUUAAUGGUGAUUUGAGAACAAACAAUGUGUUCUAAAUCGUUGGUCUGUCUGUCUUUCUGCCUGCCUGGGCAGGAACGUUAUGGCUUUCUUAAUUCUCCUGUGUGAUUUAUCAUCUCCAAUUCAUUGUUUUGCAUAACUCUGCUCAAAAUGAAGAAAUGUCAUUAUUUUGCAGUGAAAAAGUUGUCAUUUGCAUAAUGCCUGCCAUUAAUUAUUGUGAGACUAAUGCAGUUGUUGAUAUUUUUAGGGCACAGUGGUACAUCCUGCACCUUGUAUAAUGUCAUUCUGAAAACAUUGGUAGUUAAUAGGUGCCACAACACUGCACAAAUGCAAGAAAAGAGGAGGCAAAAAAAGGGGAAGGGCACAGAAUGGAACAGGCUCUGAUCUUCAUUUAGGUUUUUUGUUUCCUGAAGUACUUGGUGGGAGAUGGCUAGAAACAGAAACUAGAGAUAAGAAGCUGUGUCACCCAAGAGGAUGAGGGAAUGAAGAAAGUGAAAUGCUCCAUUCUGCACAUUAGUAGAGAUGGACAAAACUAAAGCUGCCUUGUGCUGGUGAUCCCUGGAAUAUGAGAAAAUUCAUGGGGGUAGUUAGUGACUGUUAUCCCAUAGCUGGCACUUUCCCCCUCGGAGAAGCCUUUUGUUAUUUGUUUUAGUGGCUUAUUUACUUUUACAUUGGAGUUAUUUUAUGAUUUCAUUUCAAACAUAUAAAGUGAAAAUCCCUGCAUAUACAUAACAAAUAUUAUUUUAUAAUGUCCUCUGAGUCUGUGAGGGGAGAACAAAACAAACAGAUCUGACCCCUAUUAAGAAUUUAAUAAAUCUAGUUAUUGAAGUAUAGUUCUUGAUUUCAUUUUUGUGGAUGAAGUUCACUGCUAUUUGAAAGGGUCUCUUGAUGCCUGCCACCAGUAGCUGGAGAAAAAUAUUCUUUCCCAGUUAGACUUACACAUGGCCAGAGGAAAACAUCUUUUUCAUUACUUUUUCACUGUAAAGCUAGCUGAUUUGGCCUACAGAUAUUGGGGGUGGAAAGAGAAAAGAGCAACAUUGUAGGCGUCCAUAAAUUCUGUACAUUGAGAACAUGAAGCUGGACCAUUUCCAGUGCUUUUUCCAAGAACUUCCAUUGCUCCUGAAGUACUUAACAUGUCAUGUUUUUUGAAUAACGUGCAUUAGUAAAUAUAAAUCAUAAUAAUCAAGUGAAGCAAACACUUCAGUCUCAGGCUGACAGAAGCUUUCCUACAUGUCUUGUACAACUAAUACUGCUGCUGCAAGAUAGUUCAAAUGCAAUAGGCAUUCUUCUAUGCCUUUUUUUUCCUUUUUGGUCCUUAACAAAGAGUGUUAGUGAGUGUUAACCUAUAGCAGUGGUUGCAUGCUAAUGGAGAGAAGCUUGUUUAGAAGGCCUAUAUCAUCAUAACUAUGAUUUAUAGUAUAUUUAGCAGGAAAUAAAAAGCCCUGGGAUCCUUUGCUAUUUUAUAAGAUUGCUAGGUCCUCUGUUUGCUUAGAUCUUAAAAUUCCAGAAAGAGAAAAAAUGGCGAUGUGCUCCUCAGAUACUGCAUUUCACUGCCUCUGAAGGGGUGUUGUUUCUUCUCCUGUUUUCUGCCAUUAGAAUUAAAGCAACAACAAAGAGAAUUAAACCGCAAAAGUUCAAAUAAUGCUAGAGUCUAACUGAAACCCACAAAGAGCAGGAAAUUCAUCUCCAAACAGUGCCAGUCUGUCCUCAGCUCACCCUAUUGUCACAGAGAACUGAAAGUUGUUCCUGCAGUGGGUGAUCUUACCGACCACAAGUGCUGCAAUUUGUAGUCACAAUAGAAAACAAUAGAAGAACAGAGAUGGAGCUUUACUCUUGGUUUCUUGGCUUCAGUAAGCAUGAAACAGACUCCUAAUGUACACUAGGGUAGUUUUCUGUGUAUUUUAAUGUGCUUAGAGCACAAGUACAGUGUAUAAAGUUUAUUUCACAAAGUUGUAAUUCGUAGUCGUGAACUAAAUCCCAACAAUAAGUUGCAAUCUUUAACAUUACAGAAAUAAUCCACAUGUCAGUUGUUAGUGUCUUAUACAUGCCACUGCCCCUGCUUUUUAGAAAAUAGAAUAUAAAAUACCUCAUGUAUUAAGAAUAAGAAUACUACAGAUAACCAAUCAGGAGGAGAAAUUUCUGCAAAACAUUGUAAAAACUAAGUGCUAAAACCAAUAAUCUGCCUCCAAGGGCUUUGCAAAUGGCACAGCUUUUAACCCCUAGAACAGCUUUUCCCUCUUGGUCCAUCCCUGGUAUCCCUACCCUAUUGAAGAACUUUGCUGUGGACAAGCUGCAGGUCUGUAGGAAGAGCACAAAUCUUAAGAGUGCUCCUUCUGUAGAAUGAGUUCAAUAGAUGCUUGGUAGUCUUUUGAACAAGAUCUAAAUUGCCUUCCUGUCUUUGAUGUAGACUUCCUGCGUGGCCACAAAGAAGUCACAUCAUUUCUCUCAUAAUUUUCUUAAAUGAGGAAUUAUAAUCAUUCCAGACAUCUAAGGAUACAUUGUGAGGAUCAAUUCACGAAGAUGGUUGAGAUAUUCAGACACUGCAGUGAUGAGUACCACAGAAAAGCCAGAAACAAAAAGCAUCUUAUUUCAUGAAAGACUUGGAUGCCUCUCAGUAAACAAGGCCUGGGGCCACACACUAAACAGGGAGGAUAAAAAAAGAAUAUUUGAAUUAUUCUCAUGCCGUGUUGCUCCCCAUUAUACAGAACACAAAAUGUAUAAUCGUAGCGUGUAAGACUGUAUUGUAACAGUGCAGUUGUUGUGACAGACUUCAUCUUGAUAUUUUCUUACUUUUGAGUGCUUUUCUCUGUGACCUUAAUGUUUCAAGUUAGUUUUUAAAAGAUGUUUUUGGGUGGGGCAGUAGAUUAACUGCAGAUCCUGGAGAAAUCACUGCAUCAUGUGGCUGUUGAAUACCCAUUAGAACCAAAGUGGCUAUUGCUGGUGACUAAUUAAGGUACAUGGUUUUUAAGAUAGGAAUGAAUUCCACCAACUGGAAAACCAGCCAGCAAGGAAGACCUGUUGUAUCCGUAUCACAAGUUUCCUGAAAGAACACCUUGUUCUCUAAACAGUGCUCUUGCUGUUUCACACGUAGGUCUUUGUUCUUAAUGGAGUUUAGCUAUAAUUGUACCUGGGAAAGAUAUUAAUCAAUAUCCAGCAAGUUGACAAUGCGAUUGUAAAUCAUCACUUGCAACCCUAAUCCACGUGCUCCAUAAAUUCAUUGUGAAGCCAGAAUCCCUGUGAUCUAUGCAUUAGCUAUCUUGAAGCUUAGCUGCUCUCUGAUAAAUUUGUCAGACUGGUUCGUCCUGCUGUUUAGAAAAUGGCAGAAGAGCCUUCAGUUUCAUUGUGCAAAGUAAUGUGUUCUGCUUUUAGAUCUUUGUGUUUAAAAGCCCAGGUACAUCUUUCUGUUAAGAUUUUGUCCAAUUUCCUUUAGAAACCAUUUUUACUUUUGGCAUUGAAAACAUACCAUGCCAGUGAAUUCCUCCAUUUAUUUACAUAACGUGUGACAAAGCACUUGCUUUUGUUUGUCUUGAACCUGGUACUUGAUAACUUCUUUGACUGCUUCCUAGAAAUAUGCAAUUAGAAUUUGGGAGCAGUUAUUAACUGUUCACCUUGUUCUUAUUUGUCAUGAUUUUAUAAAUCUCCUCUAUAUUUUCCUAAAUAAUUUAUUUUCCAGGGCAAAGAAUCCAAUUCUUUUUCAUCUUUCUUUGUGCAGAAGUUUUUCCAUACUUAGAAUAUUUCUGCACUUUUUUCCAUUAUUUUAGAUUGCUUACAUCCUGUUUUGCAGUAGAAAGUCAAGCCUACAUAUAGUAUUCAGUAUGUGAAUCUAUUAUGGAUUUAUUUGAAGGGCAUAAUUAUCAAUUAAGUUUUGUUUUCUAUUUCUGUCUCAAUAUUUCCCAGCCUCAUCCUGAACCUCAGUGAUCAGUGCUGAGUAUUGAGCUGGUGCUUUCACAGGCAUACCUACAAGGAUUCCCUACUUUCUUUUUUAUGUAGUAAUAGCUAAUUUAGAUUCUACUGUGUUGUAUGAAUAUGUGGGGUCAUUUUCCCCAUGGACGUUACUGUGUGUUAUUAGCAUUUUCAUUUUUCACUUUGUUGUGUGGCUUCUCAGUGUUACCAGGACUUUCUACAACAUUUCAGUUUUAGCUUUUGCUGUAUUUUUUUGAAUGAAGUGCAAAGUUGGUUGUAUCAGUCGUCCUGUUCUUUCCCCAACCAUUUACGAGCAUAUUGACCACAACAGGUCUUAAUGCAAACUGAUGUGGGACUCUGAUAGUAGUUGCCUUCCAUUGCAAGAACUGAAAGUUUAUUGCUUCUACUUGUUGUGCAAACAGUUAUUAGUCUGAGAGGCUCUUUUCUCCUAUGUCAUGGUAUCUCUCUUUUAGAGUCUUUUGUCUUUUGCAAGGCUUUUCAAUUGUUUUUGCUUUUCUUUUUUUAGCAAAUACCACUACUUGAAUCUCUUGCAGAUGUGCCCAUUGAAUCCUCCUGAAAACUCUGUAAAUUUGUGAAACAGGACUUUUCUCUGCAAAAAAAUAAUGUUGUAUCUUCCCUUUUUUUUAUCUGCCCAAACGUGUGUUAUUUAUUAUGUUUUUUACUGUUUCUGUGUUGUAGUUUAUAGACUUUCUGAACUAUGUGGGUCUUCCUAAAAUGCUUUUUUAAAAUUGGCAUUAAAUCACUUUCUAUUCUUUUAGAACCCACCUCAAUUUUGUGCAGGAGUUACUGGCUAAGUUCAUUCACGUAUGAUUUUCUUUAUAACUGUUAGAUUGGAACCAUUUUUUCUUUCUGUUGCAUAUUUUCUCAGACUUUUCAGAGCAAGGGUUUCACUUGCAAGCCUUUAUAAACUUUUCCAUAAUGAACACAAGUCCAGAAAAUUUGAGCUUUUGUUUUGUGAAAAUAUUUUUCAUCUCAUCGUUGGCCUUACAGAUCAUGUGCAGGGCAUUUGGGAAAGUUGUUAAUGGCUUCUUCAGUAUCUUCUUGGGCCUCAGUUGUUCUACUAAAGCUUUAUUAAAAAAUAAUAAUUUUAAAAAGCACUAUUUAUUCAUUAAAUAUUACUUCCCCUCUUUGGAUAGUAGCUUUUUAUUUCUAAUAAACCCUUCUGUUCAACUCAUUUAAAAAAAAAAUCCUAUUAGAGAUGUUCUUUCACAGGUGAUUAUGUAUUUGUUUUGUGAGUUCAGAGUAAUGACUGUAAAUGCAUUACCAUAGGGCAACUUUAAAAGUUCCUGCAUCUAAAGAUGUAUCAUGAUUCUCUCCUGGAGAUUUUUGCCCCCUUGCAAAGUAUUUUCGUCUCAAGUGGCAAUCAAAUUAUGACAGUUUACAACCUAGCAUAGUCAGGUAAAUCAAAACUGUUUCUGGAUUUCUUUAGUACCUCAGGCUGUAAUUUGUUGUGCCUGCCAGACAAACUGCUGAGAUUUUCCUCAAAAUGAUUGAGGCAGACAACUGGGGGUCAGGAUUAUUACAGCUAUUCUAAGGUAAGGCUUUCCUGUUACAUGUAAGAGACCUGAAUCUCUGAUAACACAUCUUCUAACAUCUUAAAGCAUUUUUCUUCCAACUUCUUUUCAAUUUCUCUUUUACUACAUUCCUUACUUUGAAUAGAUUAUUUUUUUUUUCUGAAAUUACAUACUGCCAUAGUGGAUUUUGCUGUUAUUUUUUCAGUCGUAUAGAUAAAUGAUUUUACUUGCAUUGUGACCAUAAUUGCAAGAUGGUGCUUUAAUAUGCAAAUUGAAGUAGGUUUAGUGUUCUUAGCACUGAAUUAAACUCGUUCCUUCUUUCAUAGGUUUUCUAACUAGCUGCUGCUUCUCAAAUCUUCCUUUUUACAUUUCAUGGUCACUGUCAACAUUUGAUGGAAGUUGCAUAGUAUAAUUCUUAUCCCUUCUUUUUGGGCAUGGAAUUAAAAAACACAUUUCUUUUUUUCUUUUUUCUAUUUUCUUUUUUUUUCCCCAUUUUAUUUAUAUACACUUUCUUUAAUUCAUAGCACUGUGCAUUUUACUUAGUCAUUAUUACAAAGUGCAACACACAAUGUCUGGAGCAUUACAAUUUCUCACAUAUUCUUUUUAAGCUUACUAUAGUUGGAACCACUCACAUCCUUUGUAACAUCCCUCCCAUUUAAAGGAAUCUUCAGCUAAACUUCUCCUUCCUUGAAAGGAGAUCAACUGUAAAAAAGAGUUUAACACAAUAUCUGACUUGCUAGCAUCAUAUUCAGUCAGUCACUUACUCAAGGUAACGUACUGCUGGAAUCAGAAGUUGUCAGAAUGUGCUCAAGAAAUGUUUUAACAUUUGUUCUACAUAUUGGUUGACACACUUUCCUGUCUUUUGGCUUGUCAGAAGUGCUGCAUCCCGCAGUCCUGGGGAUCCCUCUACCCCAGAGGAUGUACUGGGAGCUCUCCCUGUAAUACAUUGUAAAAAAUAUUUUGAAGGGUUUUCAGAGUACAUCACAAUCACAACUAUCUGAAGAGCAUGGGAAAAACACUGAAUAGAGCUCGAUAAUCGCGUUUGUGAGUAACCAAAAUGCUCUGCUUGCUCAUGAUCUGUGGAAAUAAUUAGUAAUAGAAGCAAUUUACCAUUUAAUUAAUAAAUGACAAGGGGCAAAACCUUGUCUGGGUUCACUGAAUUUGGAUAAUUGAAGCUCCGCUGUAUUUUAGAAUCUGAAAUAUUAACCAUUAUUCUGUGUGCUUGAGAUAAUAAUCAUUUUAAAAAUGUGCAAAUAACAGGAUCUAAGUCUAGUUGAUACAGUGCCCUGCAUGCAGGGAAAGUUUGUUGUAUUUGAUUGUUUUUUGAAGUGCCCGGAGUCUGUUUCCCUUAAUAUAUAGAUCUGUGUAAGCUUUGAACCUUUAACUACAUUCCAGUGCCAGUGAAGGGUUUCACAAGGCAGUGAAUAACCUCUCACUGAGAGAAGGGAGAACGGGUGCAGCAGAACAUUUUGAAACUGGUUCUUACUUCAGCAGCCCACAAAGCAAGAUUGAUGGAGAUAAAAUGUUGAGAUUGAUGGAGAUGAAUUUUUUUUAAUGAAAUAAGAAGGAGGUAAUAAUUGUGCUCUGUUAGAAAUAUCCAUUCAGAAUGUGCUAUAGCAAGUGGAAGGCUGGGACUGAAGAAAGGCAUUCUUAUGUUACAGUGUACUCCAAUGGCCUUAACUGCCUUAAACUUACCUUGUUUGCUACCAAAUACAAGACAUUGAAAAAGAGUUACAGACGUCUGCUUUCCUCUGCUUUGCCUGUGUCUCUUGCCAUCUCACAUGUUUAAUAGCACCUAACUCUGAGGCAUUGUAGCAGCAUGGCUGAAGAACAGGGAUAGAACCCCUAAUAGGCAGCAGCUUUAGAAUCAUUUUCAAGCUAUCAAAAUAGAAUGCAUUUUCUUUCUCUCCCUCAUAUUGUUUGUUGUAUUCUAUAUUUUUAUCUCUCAAAUCUUCUUAAUUCUGGCAUCAUCCAGAAAUAUACUGGAUAAGAAAAUAGGUGUGGUCAAAAAUGAGACCACACAUUUCAAUCUGUAAGGACAAUGCAUUGAGUCUAAUCUCCUGCAGCUGAUCUGUCUAUUGCUAGUAACCUUUUUCUGGAAACACUGUUGUACCCAGGAGGCUUACCUUUAUUCAGUUCAGUUUGUACUAUCCUCUUCAAGUAUAUGAUAAUUGUCUGAGGAUGGGCAGUCCUUGCAGAAGCUUAAUUCCAACCCCACCUCCGUGUUUCAUUCACAAGGAAUUGGAGGAAUGUGCGAUUAAAUUGCUAUGAAGUCCUGGCUGUGCGGGUUCUGUCUACUGCUUCCAAAGAGGUAAAAAGAAAAUUGGUCAUUUCAUUCAAGUUUUUAUUGUACUUGUGUCAAGAGUGUUGCAGAAUUUAGCAUGUACAGAGCUCUCUGCUCUUCAAGGGAUCCAUUACUGGAAAAGCUGGGAGUCUGUUGUGUCAGAAAUGAUGAGUUGGCACCAUUCAUGGUGGUAAGGGAAGCUUGCUUAUGCAAUGAGCCACAUCCUGCCCUCCUAACUCCGUGAGUAACUCUAUUGAAGUCCAUGCUAAUUACUUCUAUUAAAAUCAGUGGAACUAUUUGCAUCAAUAAGAUAAGUAGGAUUUGGCCCAAAGGUUGGUUGAUAUCAAUGUUUUUAAUCUCUCAUUUUCAUAAACGCUAUAUUCAUUCAGCAAUAUGAAGUGAGGUGAAUAAAGAACAUUCUGUGCUUUGAAUAGUUUGGCAUCAUAUGCAGACAGGGCAUGUGAUUAAUACCAUAUUGUUGGCUUUGUUCUUUGCUUUUCAGUUGUGGCUGGCAAUGUCCUUUUCAUAACUGCUGAUAUCCCCAUGAGCCUAUAUAAUCACUCUCUACAGCUUUUCUGUGAUGCCCUUAGAUAUUUCCUGCACUCUGCAACAUGUUUUUGUAUUCACUUAUCCUCCCAUCAGAACCUUAAAAUGUUUCUGAUGUACUACUCUGACGUAGUCAGACCUGACGUCUGGUGCUGUGUUCACCUGACAAAGUUUCCAACCCAGACGCCUUAUCUGUGUUUUCAUGGACAUAACCGUCACACUACAAAGUCAUGCCUUGUGGUUGUGCCUCUGGGAAAAUCUGUAGAACUGCAGCACAAUCCUUCAGUUGGCAGAUAGCAAAUUGUGCUUGCAUUUGAGAUAGUGUACUUUACUUGGCUACCAAAGACAGAAUUAGAGGUAAAUAAUAAAAAAAUCUUGUUCUCAUCAUAGAUUUACAAAGAUAGAUGCUUUGAUGGAAACUGACAAUCUUGAUACUUUCUCCUGAAAACAGCCAAUUUAUGAUGCUAAUAAUAAAGUAGAAUUUUGAUUAAUGUAGAAAUGUGACCCAGGAAUCAAAUCACUGAAGUUAUCUUCUUGUUUCAGUGUUGUUAAAAUUACAUAAUUAAAGAUAUACACCUAUUGAAAAGAAAAAAAAAAUGUUCAGUAGAUAACAUCUAGUGUGCUUCUUUUCCUCCAGUGAACUUCCUGAUAGUAUUUAACUUCUUGGAUGGACAUUUAUUGUUACCAGGAAACUUCUUUUGUAAAGCAGACCGUAAGGACUGGUGGUUGUCUGUGCUAUUUAGCAUGUGUCAGUGAAGUGAAAGCCUUACCACAGUCAGAAAAGAUUCAUUAAUGUGCCAUGAAAUUCUGCGCUGCCUUCUCACAAGAGAUUUCCGUUUUGUUAUGUUCUCACUCAUGUGACAUUCAAGACCAGAUUCUGCUUUCAAAGAGAUUUGAGGUCAUUUGACUGACAUUAAAGGAUUUUUACUGAUUUAACAGCAGAAUACAUAAUUUAUGACUACGCAUGAAGUCAGAAAUACUGUCAAUAUUAUAAUUGUUACAUGGGUAAAACCUGCAUGCAUUUAUAGUAAUAAUCCAUUCGUUUUUUCAUUAGUGUGAAGUUUUCAAAGGAAACUAGAAAAUUCCCCUACAUACCCACUCCAUGGAAGACUCAGUGGAAUUUCCUACAAGUUGUUAAAUAUCUGACAGGAUUCAGCUCCCUACUUAUACUGUAGGAGUUGGCAGUCCGUAUGUCACUAUGAGUGCAAUCUAGUCAGUUUUCCUGGAUGCCUGAGAUAUCUGCAGGUACUGUGCAGGCAGGGAAGAUAAGAUUUGGAUCAGCAGCUGAGGGCUGUGAAGGAUCCAUCCUUGUGAAGACAGAAUACUAUUACUCAGGUCUUUUCACAGUGAAGUAUUACAUGUGUUUACGGGUGCUGUAAAUAGUAGCUUGCUAGCAAGUUGUAUCUUGCAUGGUUUAUCCAGCUACAUUUAUGUUCAUAAUACACUACAUAAGCAGUUCAUAAAAACUAAUACAUGAUCUAUCAAUAUUUUAAGAAUAUUUUUAUAUGGUUAGUACAUAUUAUACAUUUUGUAAGCAUAUCACAAGUGGAUCUGUAAGCUAUAAACAUCAGUUUGUUAAACUCAGUCCUUUCUAAAAGUUAGUAAGCUGUUUACUGAAUCUUUUAUUGAUUAUCUUCUGGUCAUGGUAUCAGUAUGAUCACCUGCCCAUGUAAGAAGUUUAAAGGUUCUGAGCUGAGAGUAGAAGAUAGACAGUCCAAAUGAAAUUCUUCUUAACACAGAAUUGGACAGUAAUAAUGAAAACUCUUUUGAAUUACACUGUUAUUCAAAUAUUUCUUCUAAUCAAUUGUUGUAGACCCUAUCUUUUAGCAAUCAUCUCGAAAAAGAUUCUUACUUGUAUAUACUUAGAGAAAUCUCAAGAAGGCAAAUUAAUUAUAAUCCUGAACAGAUGAAAAUUCAGUAGCACUGAAUUCUAGUUAAAAGCCUGGGAAGAUUCUGAUACUGCUGUUGCAUUUACCCAUUAAUAGAUUUCCCCAUAUUUCUGAAAUCAGAUUUAUUAUCUCAGAAAUAUGACGACCAGAGGUCACGAGUGAGAAAUGAAACUGGGUUUUGUCAUGUUCCUGUCCAUUGCUUUGUCAUCCAUGACUAGUUUUAAUUCUUAAGGAUAUAGGUCGCUCUAUAUGCAUCCAAUUGAAGCCAUAUAGAAUUAGGUGUUCUACCUAAGAUUUCUAGUCUCUAGGCUUUGAAGCCUGAAUAGAAUGUCUAUUGCUUCAUUGCUUUCUGUGCUGAAUUUACUGUGUCUUUCUCUAGAGUUGGUUUGGUUUUUUUUUGUUUGGUUGGUUGUUGG